rnacentral:rRNA from 1 species
AUGCGUGAUCAGGUCAGCAUCGACCUGGACGGCUUCCCACUCGACCACGAGUUCCCGGACGACUACGGGCUAGAGGAAGAGGACGAGUGCGACAUCGAAGUGGAGCCUUUGUUCGAGGACGAGCUCGCCAACCAAGCUGCCAGUCCUAAGCCGAAGCGCAAGAGCAAGCGCACGAAGGCAUACACGGCCGCCGUGGACAAGCUUCUUUGCGAGUGCUGGCGCGACAUUGGACAAGACUCCAAGACGGGCGCCGAACAAAAUUAUUCAACCUUUUGGAUUCGUGUCCAUCGAAAGUUUCAUGACCGCAAGAAGUUUCCGCCUUACCAAUUUAUGAGCACGCGCGGUUGGGUGUCCAUUUUCAGGUGA